GGGCUCGAACGUAAGAUGACUGUAGGUGAAAGCUUACAUCUCUUCGGAGCAUUUUACGAGUGCUGCAUGGUUGUCGUCAGCUCGUGCCGUGAGGUGUCGGGUUAAGUCCCAUAACGAGCGCAACCCCUAUCAUUAGUUGCCAUCAGGUCAAGCUGGGGACUCUAAUGAAACUGCCUACGCAAGUAGUGAGGAAGGUGGGGAUGACGUCAAGUCAUCAUGGCCCUUACGGCCUGGGCUACACACGUGCUACAAUGGUCGGUACAAAGGGUUGCCAAGCCGCGAGGUGGAGCUAAUCCCAUAAAACCGAUCGUAGUCCGGAUCGCAGUCUGCAACUCGACUGCGUGAAGUCGGAAUCGCUAGUAAUCGUGAAUCAGAAUGUCACGGUGAAUACGUUCCCGGGCCUU
rnacentral:rRNA from 1 species